ACACUCCUGCGGGAGGCAGCAGUGGGGAAUAUUGCACAAUGGGCGCAAGCCUGAUGCAGCCAUGCCGCGUGUAUGAAGAAGGCCUUCGGGUUGUAAAGUACUUUCAGCGGGGAGGAAGGCGAUAAGGUUAAUAACCUUGUCGAUUGACGUUACCCGCAGAAGAAGCACCGGCUAACUCCGUGCCAGCAGCCGCGGUAAUACGGAGGGUGCAAGCGUUAAUCGGAAUUACUGGGCGUAAAGCGCACGCAGGCGGUCUGUCAAGUCGGAUGUGAAAUCCCCGGGCUCAACCUGGGAACUGCAUUCGAAACUGGCAGGCUAGAGUCUUGUAGAGGGGGGUAGAAUUCCAGGUGUAGCGGUGAAAUGCGUAGAGAUCUGGAGGAAUACCGGUGGCGAAGGCGGCCCCCUGGACAAAGACUGACGCUCAGGUGCGAAAGCGUGGGGAGCAAACAGGAUUAGAAACCCUGGUAGUCCC
rnacentral:rRNA from 1 species